rnacentral:rRNA from 1 species
AUGUAUUACAUGCAAAAAAUGUUUAUACAAGACAUUUUCCCCUCAUGGUUAUAUGUGUGUUGCACGUACAUGCCCACGUCCUCGACGGGUAAGAAAAUCAGCGCAAGGAUCAAGUCCCAAACCUAUUUUUCUUUCUUCCGUUCCUUGUCCAUUCUUUGUCCUGAACUGAAUUCUGUCUUGUUCGCUGCAACAGCAAAAUCCAGCUACCGGUGGGGAUAUAGAGGAUGCCAAGAUGGACAACGCAUUGGUAUCGAGUUUGCCGAGCUCGCGAGGACAGACCACGACCUGGUGACCUUUGCCAUUGAGGGCACCGUCUACCUUUGGAGCCCCGUUGAUCUCAUGACCCUCGCCUCCGCCACAGCCAACGCCACAGAUUUGCUUAAGAUCACGGAAGCUUGGGUUGAUGGAGUGCUUGUAUUUAGUUUUUGUUUUGACCUUGUGAAACUUGCUACCUAUGGAUGA